CGACCCCAGGUCAGGCGGGAUUACCCGUUGAGUUGGA
rnacentral:rRNA from 1 species